rnacentral:lncRNA from 7 species
GAAGGAGCUCUGUGUCCUUGCAGUGGCAGGGCUGUAAGCAGGUAUCACGGUGGAGCUGUCACAGCAUGGGCAAGUACAGCAUGUGUUACUCAGCCAUUUCUGACAGCUGCUGUUAAUCUCUGCUCAGACACUGACCAUUGAAAACUUUCAGAGGAGUUGAUGUUUUGACUCGAUGAUCCUUUGGAAGCUGCCUUUUUAGCUCUGUUUCUCAGGGUACAGACAAGUUGCAGCAUCUGGACGUUAAAAGAGCAGCUAUUUAUUAUUUGCUGCUAUCACUUUUACUUGUUCUUGUUAGUAAACCAAACAGAGAAUGUAGGCGUUUGAACAGAUGAGUUUUAUACGCAUGAUUGCUGAUAUUUAGAUGAAGAUCAACUACCUGUAACAAAAACAGAAGGAAAAAUAUAGCAGCAGUAAUUAUAGAAAGUAGUUUUUUAUCUUUGUUGUUCUGAAAGGAAGGUGCAGUUAUCAACAUGCAGAGCACUGCGAAGGCAAAGGCUGAGCCCACAGCUUUGUGUUGGAUGUUGAUAAGGUGGUGACUUCUAUGACUUUUCAUAUGCUAAAAUGUAUACUGUAUUGCUUUGUUGCAGCUAAACUAAAGGAUGAGAGCAGAAAUGGUCACAGGAUUUGAAGACUUUUUUGUAGUUUUAUUAAUAGACCAUUAGUCUGAUAUGGCAUUAUGACUUAUAAUAGGAAGAAACAAACACCAAAUCUUUUUGUUCUUACAUUUUAGCGGUUUUACUUUUUGCUAUUACAGAUAUUUAUUCUCUGUUGAAGGCAGGAAUAAUCUCUGAACAAAAGCAAUGCAUGUUUUUUUUGCAGGAACAAUCAGAAUGACAACUAUUUAUCUGAAUUAGUCAUGAAAAACAAGUUGUUUUCCAGCUAGCUCUGCAAAACAAAUUUCUGCUUUGCUUGAGUCUGGCAAUGGUUUUACCUGAACUGGCUUACCCUCUAAAUGCUACGCCUCAUAUUCUCAGUAUAUUAUACUUCAUGCUACCCUGCAAGUGGUGAAGGGAGGUAUGGGUGCUCGGACAGAGAGUGGGUUAUCAGAGCCAUUGCCUGGUGGUUUUGUGUCCCUGAUGGCUGUUUCCCAUAGAAGUCGGUGAUAAGAUUCUCCAGGAGUGUUAAAUGAACUCCUUAGAUAUCAGCAUGGAUAUGAGUAACCUGUGAAGCAAGCUGGCUGUACUGUGUGGAACAGAGCUGGAGCAUUGCAGCCUUGCAUUUUUCAGACUAAACAACAAUACAAAUAUAUAGCUGCUUGCAACAACGCGUGGUUCAUCACAGACUGUAUGCCAGGAUUAUUAGCCCUUUGGCCAGAAGAGUGUAAGAGGAAACAGAAGCAGCCAAACUCCUUCAUUACUUGGAGAGUUCCCCAGCCUUUUUCUUCAGCUUAUGUAUUUUAAUUAGAAUGUUGUAUGGUUUCUCCACAAUGUAAGAUAAGUUGGCCCUUGAUUAUCCAAGUAAAUUAGUUAAUGAUGCUUGCUCAUUGCAAUUAAACUUUCCCAUU